rnacentral:rRNA from 1 species
GACGAACGCUGGCGGCGUGCUUAACACAUGCAAGUCGAACGGAAAGGCCCUGCUUUUGUGGGGUGCUCGAGUGGCGAACGGGUGAGUAACACGUGAGUAACCUGCCCUUGACUUUGGGAUAACUUCAGGAAACUGGGGCUAAUACCGGAUAGGAGCUCCUGCUGCAUGGUGGGGGUUGGAAAGUUUCGGCGGUUGGGGAUGGACUCGCGGCUUAUCAGCUUGUUGGUGGGGUAGUGGCUUACCAAGGCUUUGACGGGUAGCCGGCCUGGGAGGGUGACCGGCCACAUUGGGACUGAGAUACGGCCCAGACUCCUACGGGAGGCAGCAGUGGGGAAUAUUGCACAAUGGGCGGAAGCCUUAUGCAGCAACGCCGCGUGCGGGAUGACGGCCUUCGGGUUGUAAACCGCUUUCGCCUGUGACGAAGCGUGAGUGACGGUAAUGGGUAAAGAAGCACCGGCUAACUACGUG